GAGUCAUUGGGNNCUUAAACCUAAAGGCGAAAUGAAAUUGAAGGAUCNGGGCCUCACGUCCGGAUCGAGGGAAAAUGNCCNAUCCNAUGCAUCNCGCCCACACUCCCGGGGCGUCUCGAUCUCAUUCCGAGGUGAGGCGCACCCAGAGCGUACACGCUGGGACCCGAAAGAUGGUGAACUAUGCCUGGUCAGGACGAAGUCAGGGGAAACCCUGAUGGAGGUCCGUAGCGAUUCUGACGUGCAAAUGAUCGUCUGAACUGGGU
rnacentral:rRNA from 1 species